UACGUAGGGUGCAAGCGUUUGUCCGGAAUUAUUGGGCGUAAAGAGCUCGUAGGCGGUUUGUCGCGUCGGCUGUGAAAAACCUGAGGCUCAACCUCGGGCCUGCAGUCGAUACGGGCAAACUAGAGUUCGGUAGGGGAGACUGGAAUUCCUGGUGUAGCGGUGGAAUGCGCAGAUAUCAGGAGGAACACCAAUGGCGAAGGCAGGUCUCUGGGCCGAAACUGACGCUGAGGAGCGAAAGCGUGGGGAGCGAACAGG
rnacentral:rRNA from 1 species